rnacentral:lncRNA from 1 species
AGGAACGCAACGCCGACUGUAAAAUAUCCUCCAGAAGUUCGCCCUUCACGGCAGACCGUAUUUCCCCAACUAAAAGCCAAACCAAACGAGGAAGAAACUUGAAAUCCCCCUCCCGGUUUCCUCUCUUCGCACCUCCGCUUGAACGAUCGAGGCGCCGGCAGGCCAAGGUUUGGGUUCCUCCUCCCUCCUCCGUCAAGCCACUCGCGGUCGCGGAUUAUCUCGUGCGCGGCUUAAUCGUUGCUGUGUGCUGGUCUCUCGUAAUUUCCGGUGAAGGACUUGCUCUGGGGUUAGGUUUUCAGGCUGUGAUUCUCGGUUCCUUUUCGGUUGUUCCUGUCUCCGCGAGUUCCUUGUCCCCAAGGAAUGCGUAAGCAUUCGGUUUACUCUGUUGAUGUAUUGUGUUCUAUGCAAGAUACGGAGUAUUACAGAGGAAUUGUCGUUUGUAACAGGGCCGUAGUACUGGUCCUCUAGAUUAAUUGCUUAAGUAGCCUAUUAAUCACGAUUUCGUGUUCAUCUUGGUGAUUAUAGGUAUUUAGGGCAUCUGUAUUUGUCGAUUGUGAUGCCAAGAUUGGUCCUUAUGUAUGGGCUAUAGUCAUGGUAAGAUUAGCCAACAGUUCAAGCCCUAUCUGGAAUGCGGGAAUUUGCUUGUACUUAGUUGUGGAACAGUUCAAUUACCGCAAAAACCUAGGGUUGUGUUCCCAGUUUGAGUAAAUGAUGUCAUUGAGAUGUGUGUAGCUUUAUAUUCUCAUGCUCGAUUACUUCUUCCUUGUGAUCAUCUAGGUGUAUUACAUGCCAAAAAAUAUUCUUUGCCAACGGCUUCAGUGUUCUCUUCCCCCCGGACAGUGUAUGCAGAAUCGGUCUUUUGGGAUUGUUGCCUUGCUUUAUGAUUAUUAGAUGUGUUCUCUAUUUUUAUUCUUCAAGUUUCCUUGUGGUCAGCUAGGUAUAUUAUGCUAAAAGAAAAUCUUCCGCAACUGCUUCAAUGUUCUCUUUUCCCCGAACAGUGUAUGCAGAAACGGUCUUUUAGGAUUGUUACCUUGCUUUAUGAUUAUCAGAUGUGUUCUCUUUAUGAUUCACUAUUUUUAUUCUUCAUAUUUCGUUAAUGAGUUUAGCUCUUGAGCUGAAGUUAUUGAGUUUUCGCUGCUGUGGUUUAGAGUUGGUUCAAAAUCUGGAAAUUAUUGGCAUUGAAGUACCAUUUGAUUGUCUCACCACUAGCAGAAUUAUGCAUUCAGUCUAUCCUAUCCUAUGUCAGUCCAUAUAGGUCUAGCUAUACAAAUUCUUCACUUUUAUUGUUUUGGAAUUAGCUUCUAUGGAGUUCCCUUUGUUUCCCAACAGAGUUCGUGGUGCCAUGACAUUCUCAUGUGUAUGUUCCUAAUUCAACAAUCUGUCUCUGAACUUCGCUUUUGGACUCCUGAGUACAUUUUGUUUGGGAACUGCAUACUAUGUUUGAUUUAAAUGGAUUGUUGAGAUCAAAAUCCACACGGUAGAUGAACUGAGUAUCUGAUAAGCUCCCAUGCGUAGAACACCUCUUGGAGUAUCAACUUAGCUCUAAAAUCAACCAUAUUUUUUCUGAUACGUACAACAGAUACUCCCUGCUCCAAACAUAAAAUUUGUUCAUGUAAGUAAAACCAGCAUACUGCAAAACUCCACAGUUGCUGCUAGGUUAACAAGUGUAGGUUUGAAACAGAGGGAAGGGUGGAAAAUUAGAUUAGGUAAAACCUUGUGGCACUAUACCUUGAUAAUUCUAUAGCACUGGUGCAGCAUCUGGCCCAAGUAUUUUGAGGAGUCUAUCUGUACUUUUAUUAAUCAUUAAUGUGUUGGUACAUAUAUAUUGAGAAAUGAAACUUCUGUCACGGAUGUUUUAGUUUUCUGCUUUUCUUGUUGGAAGCACGACUGCUUCUUGCAAAACCUGUUUGACAGUUUGGAUGAAAUUGUGUCACAUGCCUUAUUUAGUUUGGGAGGUACUAACCUCCUGUUGUAGUUUAGCAGUGUCUGUUCGAAAAGAAAUAUUAUUCUAGUCUUUCACUGAUCAGUUGUGUAAUUGCAUAUGAAUCGAAGCACUAGGGGGUAACCCAAGAAGGUAGAUAGCACAAAAUUCUUCACUAGGACCGUGACAACAGUGACUUUCUGUUAUUCCUACUGUUCCCUUGGUAAAACGUAUAGGAUGUACUUCUCACGAUCAGCACUGCAGCUAAGAUGAACAUGCAAUCUCUCUUUUUCUUUUAAUUUUCAGAACAUUUACAGUCUUUCUCACUACUCUGAUUCUUCUUUAUCAGUGGAUGCAAAGUCACAAACAAGAGCUUUUAGGACUUCAUGUUUUGAAACAAGUUAAAUCAUAUAGUUUCUGUUAUUUUUUCUCAUGCUCCUGUUCUCUGAACAUAUUAACUGGAAGCAUCACAUAAUUUGUUAGCUUUUUACAGACGAGUGUGCUUUGAUUUUUGUUUAAGAUUGCAGCUAUCUUCAUGUUGUUUGUUCCAUGAAUAUUCUUAUAUACCAUCAAAAUAACUUCUGUUAAUUAUGUUCAGUACUGAUGAAUUUUUUAUUGACUAUUUUGAACACUGUCAUUUUCAAGUUAAGUUUGUACUCCCUCCGUCCCAAAAUAUAAGAACGUUUUUGACAUUAUGCUAGUGUCAAAAACGUUCUUAUAUUUUGGGACGGAGCCACGGAGGGAGUACUCUGUAACCUCAUAAAAGAGCAAUAUAUUUGUUUGGCUGUUUUCUGUUAACAAUAUUUACCCCUGUUCUUUCAUGUGCAAUUUGUAAUCAUCUAUCUAACCAUAUUUCCCUUAGAAAUUAGAGCGUAUCUGUUUGUCUAUUCUAAAACUAAGGUGUAGCAUCCAAGAGCUUGUCUUCAUUUAGUAUGCUUCAGUUUGUCUAUUGUGGGUUACUCUCUCCAUUCCAAACUAAUUGAAGUUCUAGCUUUGUCCUUAUUCAAAUUUGACCAAGUCAAAAAGAAAAAUAUAUCAAGACCUACAACACCAAAUUAGUUUCAUUACACUGAACCGGAUCUUGAAAACGGGAGUGAAUUGAAUCCGACUUCUUGGGAUUUCUUACAAAAUGUAUUUCCAUUUUAUAUAUAUUUGGUAUUGUAGAUCUAAGCAUAUUUUUCUAUAGACUUGGUCAAACUUAAAGAAGUUUGACUUAGACAAACUUAGAACUUCAAUAAUUUGGAAGGGUGAGAGUUUUGGUUUCUACUCCCUCCGUUCCUAAAUACAAGUCCUUUUAGAGAUUCCACUACAAAUUACAUGCGGAUGUAUAUAGACAUAUUUUAGAGUGUGGAUUCACUCAUUUUGCUCCAUAUGUAGUCCAUAGUGAAAUCUCUAAAAAGACUUGUAUUUAGGAACGGAGGGAGUAGAAUUUAGCAUCCUGAGCUUGCCCUUAAUUUGCUACACUCCAACUAUCCAUCUUGCAAUUAUGAAUGGUAUUGUUUCUUCACUUGCCUUGUUUCUUUCCAUGUGUGAAAAAAAUGGUUUCCAACUCAUAUUGGGUAUUUCUGUUUUGAUGCCAAACGAACCUCGGAAUAUUUGCAUAAUUUCUUAUUUUUAUUAGUGUGUAAUGUUCGUCACCAUCAAGCCAACAAUUCCUGGACUGUUUCUGAUGGACCAAAAUGUGUAGGGUUCGAUAUCUUUUUUUAUUGUUAUUUUGGUUAGGUAAUUUAUGCAUAUGAUAUUCACUGUUGUGACCAUGAGGUCAUGGGUUCAAGUCCUGGAAACAGCCUCUUACAGAAAUGUAGGGAAAGGCUGCGUACUAUAGACCCAAAGUGGUCGGACCCUUCCCUGGACCCUGCGUAAGCGGGAGCUACAUGCACCAGGUUGCCCUUUUUUUUAUAUUCACUGUUGUGCAGAUCGGUUUUUUCAGCAUCACUAGAGUCAAGGAGGCUUCCCUUGGACUGGUGCUAUGCACGCCCAUCAUAUUUUAUUUAGGUUAUGCCCAGAACUCUAAUAAGUGGAGCUUAGCAGUAGCAUACAGUGACUUAUUACUGGAUUUCACUGUUAUAAGCACAUACUUAUAAAUAUUAAAUCAUGACGCAAACUGUAUAUUUAAGAAUUGUCCCCAGUAUCCACCUUAUUAUUUUGCUUGUUGUUAGGCUAUAGAAAGUGUUGCUGCAACUUGGAAUUUGGUCGUAGCAUGCUCUUUCACUAUUCUUUGUGUCUUUUUUAUCAAUGUAUUAAUGUCAAGUCACUGUAUACACUCCUGUUUUGAAACAACAUUGACGUACUGAUGAGAUUUUAUUUUCUCUUGUUUUGAAACAGGAGUCUGGACUGGAUACACUCCUUCUCUUUUGUCCCGUGUGAUAAAAGAUUUAUAGCUUAUAAUAUCACAACAAUGUAUACAACUGUGCAAACAUACAUAUUCAUUACUGCUGAACUUGUAACUGCAGUAUUGUGUAAUUCUAUAUAUCCAUUCAUCUUGUUUUUUCCAUAUUGCAUUUGGGAUCAUAGUAGAGGUUCAUCUGAGGUAUUUCUUCUUUUUGAAAAGAAAGCAUAAAAGCGUUCUAGAUCUUCAGUAUUGUGUAACACCUAGAUACUCAUUCAUGCUGUCUUUGUUUUCUCUUUUUUAACUGAAGAAACACUUAAUCUUAGGUUUUAAAACAGUUUCUGCUUAUUUUUCAGUGCCAUUUAGAAGAUUUUGGUGGCCAGAGCACAAAGCAAGUCACUGAACCAUGCUCAUGGUCUGCUGGAAUAUCACACUAAAACUUCAUGCUUGUAAGUUUCCUCAUUUGUGAACCCUGAAUGAUUAACCUCAUACAAACCAGACAUCAAAUAUAUUUCAGUACAUAGUAGUCGUGCAAAACUUGCAUCUGUCAUAUUAGGAACUCAUUGUUGUCGAUAUGUACAUGUUAACUGAUGUUGGGCCUCCACAACCCACUACUGGCAUGACUAAAAGAGCCAGUCUUACAUCUUUUGUUAGGGAAACUACUAUACAUCUUAGACUUGUGGAGUAAUUUACAAGAUGCACAUACAAAUCUCUUCGGCACCUGAACAAAAUCACUAAUUCCAACACACCUAGUGUGCUGCCACACAUGGCAUGAGUCACAAGAUAGCAUCCUCUCACCAUCAUCAUCCUUCGCUCCACAUGAACAAUUAACUGUCCAUUGGUCUACACCCCUCUCCAUCCGAUAAAUUGCAACCCUGCGCUCACCUCCGACGCACUUGCCUUGGAUACUGACAGUCCCUUUUGCUCCAAAUAAGAGCUUGACUUGAGUUGUGUCAUCUGCAGUUGGACAAUCAAGAAGCUGGUUUGCUACAAAGCUUUGUAGCAUCAAGUAGAUACUUUGGAAUGUUCUCACAGCCUCCAUCUUCAGAUCAGCAACAGUAGCCGUUUGCGUUAGUGUUAAAAGUUCUGCUGGGAGGCUGGGUGGAUCACCAACCUGAUCCAAUAGCUCCACUUGGCACCAGAUGUGCAGCACAGAUUGGUUUUGAGGCAAGAAAUCCUCUUCCAUGUCAUAAUGCUUGAUGAACUGCUUGCAGUCCAAAAGGACCAUCGCAGAUCUAUUGGCAUGUUCAUGAAUAUGUUCUGGCUUAUAAGGUGGCAUUGUAUGAGGGUUGAGGAGCGCGUCAUAGAGGAACUUGAUGUCACGGAAAAGGUGAUCCCGAGUUGGCAUGCUCGCAUUCUUUGGUGGCAAGAUUUCAUCUGUGAGCCUGCAAUGAGUAAAAGAACAGUUAGCCUUUUGAUCAUAGAAACAAGAACUAGGCUAGUUAUGCAAGUCACAACCAAUAUCUGAGUCACGAACCUGUACUCUAUUGUGUUUGUCUCACUGUUGCAUCGAACUACAACAACCAUCCCAUCAUAGGUUCUUGUACCACCAAUGGUCUUGAGGCAGUAAUCGACCAGCUGUGGUGAACCAAUUGGAUGAGCUGUAGCUGCCUUUAGGGUUCGCAUAGCCACCCACCUAUCUACAGCACGGAGAACUUUCAGCGCAACAUCCAUCGCUUGCUUUAUUUUCUCAUCAGCCCAGUUUUCCUCUUUGAAAUUGGCAUCAUAUGCUAGCUCCCUCUUGUGCAUUGUCACAAGGUGGGUAUGCACACUUUUGCCAGCAGCAAGCCCCAAGACAUAGAGGAACAGAUCACAGAAUGUGGUGAGAGGGCGCUUUGAGAGCGAUUGAUAGAAAGCAAUGGUAUCCUGCAGUUGGUUUCGAGGAUAUCGGGAGUGGGGAAAGAAGUGAGAGAGUGACACUGAGGAGAGGUUUUCAAUGGCUUUGCUGUAGGUUUCAGAUGUAAUUCCGAAGCUCCCACUUCCGAGUUUGAAUCCCCACUGCCCAUACCAAGAACAGCCAGUGGCAAUGGCAUGUAGAACCCGGUAGUCAACUUCAAACUUCUUUGAGACAUCCAACACUGAAACCUUUCUGAAAUUAAUCAUGUACUCUUAUGUUAGUACCAUUUCCCAACAAAUUACAGAAAGGUAGGCUGUUCCUACUCAACAUAAAUGUGUAAAUUUGCCUUUUAUACCUGACUCUUAGGUAUGUGCAAAGACGAUCCCAAAAGUCCAUCAGUUGGUAUCCUGUCAAGAGGCUGGAACCACCUUCAUGGCCGUUAAUUCGUACAAGAUGGCCAAACCC